rnacentral:lncRNA from 1 species
CAUCCCCCUAACCCCUCCCCCUCCCCUUAUAUAUGGGUGUUCCCCUCCUCAUCCUCUUCCCAUUACCACCCUCCCCCCAACAAUCACGUUCACUGGGGGUUCAGUCUUGGCAGGAACAAGGGCUUCCCCUUCCACUGGUGUACUUACUAGACUAUUCAUGGCUACCUACGAGGUUGGUGCAAAGGGUCAGUCCAUCUAUAGUCUUUGGGUAGUGGCUUAGUCCCUGGAAGCUCUGGUUGGUUGGCACUGUUGUUCAUAUGGG